rnacentral:tRNA from 1 species
GGAGAGAUGCGAGAGAGGCUGAAUCGGCGUGACUGGAAAUCACGUGAGGGGGUAACUCCUCCGGGGGUUCGAAUCCCCCUCUCUCCGCCA